UUAUCGUAAACAUAAUUAUUCAUUUAUUGCAUUUUUAUUAAUAAAUUGGGUACUGCAUUUCCAAUAAAUACUGCCAAGUUGAGCAUUUUCAUUUUCAAUUAUACCAGUGAAAAAUCAACAUUAACUCAUAAAACACUGUCAUAGAGGAAUAACAGUUCUGAAGGGUAUUUUUGCAAAAACUAAGAUAUUAUUGAUUAAUAAAACAUUCAAAAACUUUGUAUUAUGCAAUACGUCACAUUAACUUACAUGAUGACAGAGAUGGUGGGUUUUCAAACAUGGUCCACAGAAUUCUUUCAAGCAAGCAAACUCAGGCAAAUGCCAUUGAACACU
rnacentral:lncRNA from 1 species